AGAGUUUGAUCCUGGCUCAGGAUGAACGCUGGCGGCGUGCCUAAUACAUGCAAGUCGAGCGAACGGACGAGAAGCUUGCUUCUCUGAUGUUAGCGGCGGACGGGUGAGUAACACGUGGAUAACCUACCUAUAAGACUGGGAUAACUUCGGGAAACCGGAGCUAAUACCGGAUAAUAUUUUGAACCGCAUGGUUCAAAAGUGAAAGACGGUCUUGCUGUCACUUAUAGAUGGAUCCGCGCUGCAUUAGCUAGUUGGUAAGGUAACGGCUUACCAAGGCAACGAUGCAUAGCCGACCUGAGAGGGUGAUCGGCCACACUGGAACUGAGACACGGUCCAGACUCCUACGGGAGGCAGCAGUAGGGAAUCUUCCGCAAUGGGCGAAAGCCUGACGGAGCAACGCCGCGUGAGUGAUGAAGGUCUUCGGAUCGUAAAACUCUGUUAUUAGGGAAGAACAUAUGUGUAAGUAACUGUGCACAUCUUGACGGUACCUAAUCAGAAAGCCACGGCUAACUACGUGCCAGCAGCCGCGGUAAUACGUAGGUGGCAAGCGUUAUCCGGAAUUAUUGGGCGUAAAGCGCGCGUAGGCGGUUUUUUAAGUCUGAUGUGAAAGCCCACGGCUCAACCGUGGAGGGUCAUUGGAAACUGGAAAACUUGAGUGCAGAAGAGGAAAGUGGAAUUCCAUGUGUAGCGGUGAAAUGCGCAGAGAUAUGGAGGAACACCAGUGGCGAAGGCGACUUUCUGGUCUGUAACUGACGCUGAUGUGCGAAAGCGUGGGGAUCAAACAGGAUUAGAUACCCUGGUAGUCCACGCCGUAAACGAUGAGUGCUAAGUGUUAGGGGGUUUCCGCCCCUUAGUGCUGCAGCUAACGCAUUAAGCACUCCGCCUGGGGAGUACGACCGCAAGGUUGAAACUCAAAGGAAUUGACGGGGACCCGCACAAGCGGUGGAGCAUGUGGUUUAAUUCGAAGCAACGCGAAGAACCUUACCAAAUCUUGACAUCCUUUGACAACUCUAGAGAUAGAGCCUUCCCCUUCGGGGGACAAAGUGACAGGUGGUGCAUGGUUGUCGUCAGCUCGUGUCGUGAGAUGUUGGGUUAAGUCCCGCAACGAGCGCAACCCUUAAGCUUAGUUGCCAUCAUUAAGUUGGGCACUCUAAGUUGACUGCCGGUGACAAACCGGAGGAAGGUGGGGAUGACGUCAAAUCAUCAUGCCCCUUAUGAUUGGGCUACACACGUGCUACAAUGGACAAUACAAAGGGCAGCGAAACCGCGAGGUCAAGCAAAUCCCAUAAAGUUGUUCUCAGUUCGGAUUGUAGUCUGCAACUCGACUACAUGAAGCUGGAAUCGCUAGUAAUCGUAGAUCAGCAUGCUACGGUGAAUACGUUCCCGGGUCUUGUACACACCGCCCGUCACACCACGAGAGUUUGUAACACCCGAAGCCGGUGGAGUAACCUUUUAGGAGCUAGCCGUCGAAGGUGGGACAAAUGAUUGGGGUGAAGUCGUAACAAGGUAGCCGUAUCGGAAGGUGCGGCUGGAUCACCU
rnacentral:rRNA from 1 species